GAAAGGCUGCUAUCAGGUUAUCUCAGAGCCUUCUCUUCUCCAGACUGAACAGCCCCAGCUCUUUCAGCCUGUAUUCAAAGGAGAGGAAUUCCGUCCCUUGAAUCAUUUUUUUGUGGCUCUCUGGAUGCACUCCAACAGGUCCAUGUCUCUCCUGUACUGAGGACUCCACAUGUGGCUGCAGUCGAUGCCCUCUGCAUUCAUUGCUUAAAAUGUAAAUGAUGCUGGAAUUCUGAAUUAAAGCUUAUGAGACCUUUCAGAUGUUCUGUAUGCCUCUUGAAAUGCCUCACACACCACUGGCUGCAGUGUUCCCCUGGAAGUUGUAAUCAGCUGCAAAAGGAUGGUAAUAUUUUGAGAUUUCCAGGUAAGAGAUACAUUUCUAGUUCAUCCUGCAGUGUUUGGGUUUGCUAAAGCUGCUGUCUUCUGUAACCUCUCAGCUUUUUUUCUAGCGUUCACUGUCUAACCAGCUGGUUUGGAGCUUGUAUUCAUAUAGUGGAUUAUUCUUACCCUUGUGCACUAUCUUGUGUUUGUCUUUGGGUAGCCUGCCACUUCUUCAGACCAUGCUUCCCAUAUGUUAUACUCUAAGCCCACCUUCCUGGUAGUCUCCCUGCUUGGUGCCAUACACAGAUUUCAUAAAUGCACCUACUGCUUGGUCCUCCAGGUCACAGCACUCUAUUCCUCAUACAUGACUCUCAUAAACCAAUAUAUUUUGUCAAAGAACUCAAGCUAUGUCUCCUUAUAAUGCUAAAUUCAGAGCCACAAUGGUGAUAUGUAUGCAUGUACAAGGACAAACAGACUAGAAAUAUAGGAGCUGGGAAGUAAUAGAACGCAAAGCAACAAGAUCUGUCUUCCUGUAGAAAAACAGCUCCAUUUCCUAAUAAUGCAAGAAUAUGUCUUGUGACAGAUAAUGAGAUGGAGAUGAGAGAAAUAGUUCUUCUGUCGAGGCUGGGCUCACUUUUCCCACGUGCCUUUGUUUCUGGGGCUUACCAACAUAAAGAGAUUCACAAAGUUGUAUCUCCACUUUGGUUUUCCUGUUUACUUUUUAUUAGAGAUUGAGCGAGGACUAUAUUGCCCUCACCAGCUGACUGCCUUUUCUAUUUAGUGACACAACCGAUCUAUUUAAGCCACUGUCAGGUGAACCAUAACGGAAGUUGUGAUUCAUUUCCCACACUCAGGAAAGCGGAGCAGAGUUCUGCUAUGUCUGAUUAGAGAGGACUUUGCAUAUGGGGCCGUGGAAAUACAUUUGCUACUCUUUUGGUACCCUGCAUCCCGAGCAACUAAGUCCUACCAACUGAAGAGACCAGACUGUGUUUGGUUGAGGGACUGUCUGGGAAUGUCAGCAAGUGGUGGAUAUAUGAGGAGGGGAGAAAUUAAAUUCGGUUUUUCCUCACGUCAGUGAUGAGUGAAUAAACAGAAACCAUUACCAAAGCGCUCUCUCCUUCCAUCAAAAACCAACAACCUCACCACCAAAAGAGAAAGAAAGGUUUAUUUGAACUCCGUCUGGUAGAACAAUCGAGGUGUCAGAGUAUCAAAGUGAAAUUCAGAAAAGUCAAGACCAAGUAGGGACUUGAAGGAGCAAAACGGAAGUCGGAAAAAAAACACAUCGGUCUUUAUCAUGGUAAUAGUAAUGAAGGCGAGCUGAAAAAGCCCAGACAAUGGGCUGAGUUACUGUACUAUAAACCGCUUCCUGCCGCUGGGCUUCACAAGUCACUUUCCUGAGCUGAUUAGGGAGCUGCAGAGCUUCUCCGUUGUGUCUGAGCCCUGAGGAAGCUUGUCGAGCCGUAGGGUUUCUGUCUCAGAAUUCUUGGUUUAUUUCUGAGAAAUGAAAGAGGAGACUGAAGAAGGGAUCUGUGUUCUUCGCUUUACUGUUUACAGACGGGGUGGGUGUUUGAAUGGGCAAAACAACAUCGCUUCUGCAGAGAGCGGCUCCGCGGGGGGCUGAGCCUCCCAUGCCGGCUGCUCUUUGUGCCAGCCGCGCUUGGUGCAGGACGUAGCACUUAGAUUUCUCCCUCUCCCCAAGUCCGCAAACUGUUCUGUGCUGGGAACACGCUGGAGAUGAACAUGUGCUCAUUUCCCAAAGCGGUCGGUGAGAAAUAAGUUCACAGCUCGUGCUCCAGCAGCACGGGAGAUUCCUUUCUGUGAAGCUGCCUUGUAAGUUUGCUGCCUCUGUGCAUGCAUAUCCCUUCAGGGGAUCUAGCCCUUCAAGGGAGCAAUCAGGCUUCUAAUCAAUUAGGCAAAUUGACUACAGGGGUAAGCCAUUUCCUAUUCAUGGCAGCAGGCCUGGGUUGCGUUAACUCCAUAUUUCCCACGAGUCCUUGCCCUUCCCAUUUCGGUGACUAUUCGGGUGCUUGGAGGGCAAAACUUUGGAAAAAAACCAGACAUUUUUAGUAAGAAUGGGCACACUUUUACUGUAAAAAGCAAAAUAAUUUAGCCAAGCUUGAAAGG